GGUUGUACCAUUAUUUGCAGUUCUGCCACAGGCAAAUGGCAUCGGAGGCCCCCAGGCUCCAAUGUUGAUGCAGAUUAUUCCUGUGGGUGGAGGGAACAACAUCCAGCAGCCAGCUGCUGGAGGGAAGGCAGGCAAAGCUAGAGUCAAGCAUUCAGUCCCUUUCCAUGGAAUGGCCACAUCAACAAGAACAGAUGCUCCACUGGUAUAUUCUCACAGUUAUUCCUCCUCUUCACUUCAUUUCUGACGGUGUGAUUGCCCUUAUAA